rnacentral:rRNA from 1 species
CCUGCGGAAGGAUCAUUAUUGAAAUAAACCUGAUGAGUUGCUGCUGGCUCUCUAGGGAGCAUGUGCACACUUGUCAUCUUUAUAUCUCCACCUGUGCACCUUUUGUAGACCUGGAUAUCUCUCUGAAUGCUAGCAUUCGGGUUUGAGGGAUUGACUUUCUAGUCUCUCCUUACAUUUCCAGGCCUAUGUUUCUUCAUAUACCCCUUUGUAUGUUAUAGAAUGUAAAAAAUGGGCCUUUGAGCCUAUAACCUAUACAACUUUCAGCAACGGAUCUCUUGGCUCUCGCAUCGAUGAAGAACGCAGCGAAAUGCGAUAAGUAAUGUGAAUUGCAGAAUUCAGUGAAUCAUCGAAUCUUUGAACGCACCUUGCGCUCCUUGGUAUUCCGAAGAGCAUGCCUGUUUGAGUGUCAUUAAUAUAUCAACUUCUUCAACUUUUGUCUGUUGAGUGUUGGAUGUGGGGGUCUUUUUUUUGCUGGCCUCUCUUCUGAAGUCAGCUCCCCUGAAAUGCAUUAGCGGAACAAUUUGUUGACCCGUUCAUUGGUGUGAUAAUUAUCUACGCUAUUGACGAGAAACAGUUCAGCUUCUAACAGUCCAUUGACUUGGACAAAUUUUCAUUAAUGUGACCUCAAAUCAGGUAGGACUACCCGCUGAACUUAA